CUACGAGUUUUAUAAUGUAACAUAUAAUUCGAUAUAUUAUAUUUGCUUUGUACAAAAAUGAAGGAAAAACCGCUUGUGAAAAAAGUGAGUUUGCAAAAUAUUAUAUUAAUAUUACCAACAAAACAAUAUAAUUAACGUUAUGAAAAAGCGGGAUGAUGCGAUGUUGGAUUCUUUCUGGAAAAUAUCGAAAGAAUGUCAUUAUUAAUAUACGUGAUUAUACGUGUUCAUCACAACACAUUCGAUGGAAUACAUAUGUCUUGAUUGAUAUUCAAUAUUAUUUCAUAUAUAUUAUAAUAAUUUAUAUCUUUUUACACGAAUCUGGAAUUCAUUAACGUAACAUUGGUAAUUUAUAUACAUUAAAAAAAAUUUUAAAUAUAGCAUUAAAAUAUAACAAACACUAAAAAACA